rnacentral:rRNA from 1 species
AGCGAACGCUGGCGGCAGGCUUAACACAUGCAAGUCGAGCGGGCACUUUCGGGUGUCAGCGGCGGACGGGUGAGUAACGCGUGGGAACGUGCCCUCUGGUUCGGAAUAACUCAGGGAAACUUGAGCUAAUACCGGAUACGCCCUUUUGGGGAAAGGCUUGCUGCCGGAGGAUCGGCCCGCGUCUGAUUAGCUAGUUGGUGAGGUAACGGCCCACCAAGGCGACGAUCAGUAGCUGGUCUGAGAGGAUGAUCAGCCACACUGGGACUGAGACACGGCCCAGACUCCUACGGGAGGCAGCAGUGGGGAAUAUUGGACAAUGGGCGCAAGCCUGAUCCAGCCAUGCCGCGUGAGUGAUGAAGGCCUUAGGGUUGUAAAGCUCUUUUAUCCGGGACGAUAAUGACGGCACCGGAGGAAUAAGCCCCGGCUAACUUCGUG